rnacentral:lncRNA from 1 species
GUGGCUGCUUCCUGCUGAAUAGGGGCACUGUAGUCAGGGUUUGGGUUUUGAAGUACUGCGUGUCGUCUUCAGAGUUGUUUUCCUGGAGGCGCUGAUACCGGACUUGGUGGAGAAGGAUGGUAUGAAUGUGUUUCUAGGUGGCUGCCUGGACAAGGGAGUUCAGCCUUUGGGAGAUAAAGCAGAAUAUAAAGGGUCACACUCUGUCACCCAGACUGGAGUGCAGUGGCGCAAUCUCAGCUCGCUGUAGACUCAACCUCCUGGGCUCAAGCGAUUCUCCCACCUCAGCCUUCUGACUUUGCCUCGGGAGAGAAAAAGAGAGUCGAUUCCGAGUACAGCUGGGCCACUGGGACUGCAUUCCUGCCUGUGAGGAGGACAGCCUGUCAAUGAGCCAGAAGGGGCUAACAGAGGUUGUACUUACAGGUUCUCAAGUUUUGCUAUCAUAAACACCCAAAGUACACCACGCCGGCAAGCUGAAGGCUGACAGGAUAGAAAACUUGCACAAGACAGUUAACAUUGUAG